CCUACGGGUGGCUGCAGUGGGGGAUAUUGGACAAUGGGGGGAACCCUGAUCCAGCCAUGCCGCGUGUGUGAAGAAGGCCCUCGGGUUGUAAAGCACUUUCAGUGAGGAAGAACGCCUGGUGGUUAAUACCCAUCAGGAAAGACAUCACUCACAGAAGAAGCACCGGCUAACUCCGUGCCAGCAGCCGCGGUAAUACGGAGGGUGCGAGCGUUAAUCGGAAUUACUGGGCGUAAAGCGCGCGUAGGUGGCUUGAUAAGCCGGUUGUGAAAGCCCCGGGCUCAACCUGGGAACGGCAUCCGGAACUGUCAAGCUAGAGUGCAGGAGAGGAAGGUAGAAUUCCCGGUGUAGCGGUGAAAUGCGUAGAGAUCGGGAGGAAUACCAGUGGCGAAGGCGGCCUUCUGGACUGACACUGACACUGAGGUGCGAAAGCGUGGGUAGCAAACAGGAUUAGAUACCCGUGUAGUC
rnacentral:rRNA from 1 species